UGGAUAUUUCUUUCAAUAUUUGUUGAUUGUUUUGGAAUUUUAGGUUUAAUCAUGUUGCAUGUAUCUUCGGUUUUCAAAUUAACAUAAUUCCUUGUCAGAUGCAAUUGAACGACUAUUCUCUAACUCUAAAAGUUUAAUUACCCUCCCCAUUUUCUGUGUAUAUACAGUUAUGGAUACUCUUCAAAAGACACAUGGUAAAACCAAAAAAUACUGAAACGGACGAAGAUAAAAUUUCUGAGUUCUGGUAAAAGUUCUCUUUCCUUUCUUGGCCACAAGGUAAACCUCUAAUUCUAAUUUUUAUAAACUAUUGAUUUAGAAUUAUCAUUUUCCUUUGAAGCUCUUUUUUAGUUUUUGCUUCAUUUUUUUUACUUCAAUGUAUAUGUGGAUUAGUGGUUUAUAAGUGUCUGGGUUUUCCUUUUUUUUUUUUCGAAAAAAAAACAAUUGGGUAGAUUAGUAGAUACUGUGCAUGUGGUUUUUAGUAUUUGAAUGCUUCCAGCACUAAGCAUAAUUGAGUUGCCAUCUGGACAAAAAUUUCUAAUUAAAAGGGAAGAAUUUGGGUGCAGUUUAGGUGUUUGUUAAUUUGCCUGAAACAACUGAAAUAAUAUUCUAUUCCAUUCCCUUUUUUAGGUGAUUUUAACAUAAAUCUCUAUCCUUUUGCAAGGCUAGAACUUUGAAUAGCACAAAUAUAGGUCAUUUAAAAGAUUUUUUGGCAACUAAUAGUAUGACAGUGAAAUAUGCAGCUUGUCCCUUAUUAGGAAUGUAUUUGCAAAUUGAUUCUUUUCUGAAAGAAUGAAUCUUUUUCAUGAAAGAAAAUGAAUAUUGGAUAAUUCUUUUAUGGUGCUCUACAUUUUGAUCAUGCUACAAUUAGUAAUUAUAUUUUGCCAAGGAUUCAUCAUUAACAGAAAGCCUUGGUCCUAUCUCUCUGUGUGGAGUAUCUAUCUAAACACUAAGGUAUACUUGAUUAGUUUUCAUUUAAUUUUCCUUCUUUUUAUUUGAUAUCUAGGUCUUCUUCUAAUGUGUUUGUAAACCUAAUAGUGUUUAAAUGCAGUACUUGUGAUAUCCGAACUCCUUACUUGCCUCUCUACUUUCAUUUAUAAAUGAUAAUAUGAUGUUUGUGCUUUGAUUUUUUCUUGAUGUGACCUCUAAAAGUAAGUUCGUUUAUCAUUGGUCAAUGGAGCAGAUGGACUCAUUGACUCGCUCUGUAGUUUAUGCAGCACUGAGGUAAUAUUAUAUUCUGGUGUCGUUCAGAUGCAUGGUCUGUUUGAUAGUGAACUCCACACAUCUCAUAUUAAUAGGUUACAUAAUCUUAUUGCUUCCCCAGUAAACUGUAUAUCAUUUGUGAGGAUGUGGCUGCAAGAAACAACAACGUAACUUGAGAGAACUUCGUCAGAAAUAUAAUUGUUUUGUUGUUCAGGGAAUAGUAUCCUCUUCUCUUUCACAUUUUCAAUGUAAUAAAUUGAGUAUUUUGAGUUUUCCUGUUAAAGAGUAUGUAAAUAAAGAAUUUCCUUUGAUUUUUCGACAAGUUUGAUUGUCUGAUAGCUUCCCAGAAGUGAAUGGUGAUUAUGCGAGGCAACAUGAUUGUAUCAGUCUAUAUGAUUAGAUAUUGACCGUUUAUAAGUUUCUCAAAUAUCAAAAACUACCCUAAAAUCCUUUAGGGAGUCUAGGUAAAUGCUUUAUUCAGUAAAAAGCACUUGAAGAAACGGAAGCCUCAACUUGACUUACCACGCAGUUUGAAAUAGUAAACUAAUAUUUUCUGAGGAAAGGAACCAUUAACUAUGUAUAUGAACUUUUGUGAUGCUAGCAAGCUUUUCAUAAUCAUGACUAUUCCAAUAUUAGUAAUAUCGUUUUGUCUACAGACGCCAAUUGGCAUUUUCAAGAAAAUGAAUCUGGGAAAUCUCUCAUUAGUCUUUGGUCCUUGCCAUCAGUUGGAGCAAUCUUCUAUAUAUCGGGUUAUAUUUCCACCUUGCAAGUUUAGUGGUUAUUUGCUAGCUUUUAUCUCCUAACGGCUCAUUGGAGGGACCUUAAAAUCCUUAUGAGGGAAGUAUUUAACAAAAACAGACAGCAAUGGAUAAAUGCUUUGGGAAAAGAACUCCAACUAAUGUGGACAACCCCUAUUCGAAAAUAUUCAGGAGUCCAGCGUUUUUGUCCCUGGAAUUCAUGGAAGAUAUGCUGCUGGAUUCCUCAAAUUCUGCUGUAAUGACACUUUAUGUUGGCUCAAGAGGCAACUUGAGGAUUCUUGUGAGCCUGCACAAGGUAUUGAUCACUUUUCAUGUUCCUCAUUAUCAUUGUUAUUUGUUUUAACCCGUAUGUCUCUUAUAAUACAACAACAGCAGCAUACCCAGUAUAUUCCCACAAGUGGGGUCUGGGGAGGGUAGAGUGUACGCAGACCUUACCUCUACCUUGGGAGGUAGAGAGGCUGUUUCCGAUAGACCCUCGGCUCAGUUUAGUCAGCAGAAUACAACUCAAAUUACUUGUAAUCUUUUUCCCAUCUGAAUCAGACAUAUAGGACAUAUCUUGAAGCACUUCUGAAUAAUCCAAAAGUGCACUUUGCGCAACACGAGCUAGCUUCUUUCUAAUAUAGAUAAUGUCUGAUUAAAGAUGGAUAAGAUUCAAUUUGAGAUGAAGAUUACAGCAUUUUUACCUACAGAUUACAAAGAGCUAAGAGAGAUUUAAAUUCUAAAGAACACAUUAAAGUUAUGAGUGUGAAUGUCUCUUAUAAUGACAUACAUGUUUUCAUUUUAUGAGACUAUAUGCAUGCAAGAUGUAUUGGGAGUAUUUGCUUUCUAUUCUAUAUGAUUAUACUAUUAUUUCUCAAUAUAGCAGCUUCUUUUUUUGUAAGAAUUUAGAUUUUUAUUUUUGUGCUUGGACAACUUGAGACUGACUUAUUUGCAUGAAGAAUCGGUAGUCAGGUGUUUUAUUUGAAUAUCUUCUGAGGUUCUCUUCCUAAUUUUCAGUAAUAAAAUUAUUAGAGUUAAAAUUCUUAGCCAGAUUUUCACUCACUAUGUUCCCUGUUGGUGUUGUAAUUGCAUACACUAACGGACCUACUAAUUGCAUCAAGCAGUAACUAGGAACUGAAAUGGAUGACGAGUAUGGAUAUGUUCUUAUUAUGAUAUUUAUCUGUAAGAAAAAAAUUAAGACCCACUAGAAGUCAGAGUUACAGUUAAGAAAUAAACUGAGAUAAAAUGGUGGCAGGUAGUGCAGAUUUCACUAGAUAUUACCUGAUAGCAUUCUAGUGAAAUAUUAAAGAGAGUUUGAGAUACAAUGUUGAUUUGACAAUUACACGGCCAACUAACAAUUUGGACUGAACACUUUUGGAAGCAGCUCUAUAAAAGAGAGUAAUCCGAAAGAUUAGCCUUCAUAGUUUUGCUUCUGAUUUUCUUCAUUUGAUGUCCUUAAAACAAAUGUGGAAUGAAAUUUGCUUUUGAAGGUGAAGAAUCAAUCAAAUGGCUUCAGUGUUCGAGCCAAAAAAAAUGUUUCUUCAUGAAGUGUUUUCUUAAAUGUUUCUGUAUAUUUCCCCCUCAUCUUUUUGCUAGAAAUCUCUGUUUGCAAACAAUGGAGGUUAUAACUGUUUGAGGAUUUUUGUUUGAUAAUAUGACGAACAAGUUAUUGUCUGCAAAAGGUGCACAAUCUGCAAAAUUUAGUAGAAGUGGAUUAUUUGCUUUAUGUAUUUUUAUGCCCUUUAUCAUUUUUAGUGGUUUUGCCAUUCAUUUUGUUGGAUCUCUGGCUGUUAGUAUAAUCUCUCCUUUUCAGCCAUGCUCUGUGACCGAAUAGCUAAUUGAUUAGCGUAGAGAUGGAGAUUCCUCUUUCUGCUUUAUUUCUUUUUUGUCUUUUCAAAGCUUCAUCUCCGCCUAAAUUCA